rfam:Ciona savignyi cont_52199, whole genome shotgun sequence.
GACGAAAUAUGGCACUAGUAGAAAUCACUGUAGCCAACACCCAGUGGUUUCACAGGUGCCAUAAAUUGGA